rnacentral:sRNA from 1 species
GCUGGGCACGGUGGCCCACGCCUGUAAUCCCAGAGGCAUGGGAGGCUGAAGCAGGAGAAUCACAAGUUCAAAACCAGCCUCAGCAAAAGCGAAGCUCUAAGCAACUCAGUGAGACUCUGUUUCUA